rnacentral:rRNA from 1 species
UACGGGGGGGGCAAGCGUUGUUCGGAAUUACUGGGCGUAAAGGGCUCGUAGGCGGCCAACUAAGUCAGACGUGAAAUCCCUCGGCUUAACCGGGGAACUGCGUCCGAUACUGGAUGGCUAGAGGUUGGGAGAGGGAUGCGGAAUUCCAGGUGUAGCGGUGAAAUGCGUAGAUAUCUGGAGGAACACCGGUGGCGAAGGCGGCAUCCUGGACCAAUUCUGACGCUGAGGAGCGAAAGCCAGGGGAGCAAACGGG